UAUAUAUAACACUCAAAAUAUAAAAGAUAUUAAUAUGAGACGAUAUACUGCGAGAGAAAUCUUAGAUAUAACACUCAAAAUUCAAUGAUGAAGUUUGGGUCAAUAUUAAUCUUUUUUGAAGUUUAUAAUUUUAUACAUAUUUGAAAUUUAUAAUAAAAUGACAAAUUUGUGUUUAGUUUCACGGGACGGGGUUAUAUGGUGUGACGGGUUUGAGUGGAUUAUAACAUAGGAUGGUAUGCUACGGAAAAAACCCUAUAAUU
rnacentral:sRNA from 1 species